UACGUAGGAGGCGAGCGUUGUCCGGAGUUACUGGGCGUAAAGCGCACGCAGGCGGUCUCUUUAGUCUGUAGGGACAGGGCACAGCUUAACUGUGUCAGGCUUACGGAAACUGGGAGACUUGAGGGCUUCAGAGGGAUGGGGAAUUCCGGGUGGAGUGGUGAAAUGCGUAGAGAUCCGGAAGAACACCAAAGGCGAAGGCACCAUCCUGGGGAGUCACUGACGCUCGGGUGCGAAAGCUAGGUGAGCGAACGGG
rnacentral:rRNA from 1 species